rnacentral:lncRNA from 1 species
AUAAGGCCCAUUUGGCGGCUUAAAAGAAGUAAAUAAGGCCUUCCGGUAGACGAGACCUAACCGAAUCAGAGAAAAUUGUGGCAAGUACUGUGCCGUUUUUUCCGUGAACAAGAUGUAGAAAACUUGAAGCGCUUUUCACUGGCUACAUUUGGUGCACAUUGAGUGCAAUUUCCCUAGGGUUUUGCUUAUGUGAUUAGUUGAAAGCUGGGAAAAUUGUACUCACUGCACACGUAAUGCAGUCAGUGAAAAACGCUAUUAAGCCGCUAUUCUGUACUCAAAUGCCGAGAAAAUAAUUCGAUUGGUUGCAGAGCGUUCGAAUUCGAUGAACCAAUCAAAAUUCCAAAAAUGAUGGAUCGAUUAUCAAAAUAGAGCAUGGACUGUUCAUUCUCUAUACUUUUUAUAGUACGCCUAAUGAAAGCAGAACACACGUGUAGCCAAUCUCAAUUUUUAUCGGACUCCGAUGGUCCUGCAGAAAAUUGAUGUAAAAGGAAAGCGCCCGUAUACACUGUCAGCCUUAGGUAAGGCUACCAGUUUAACAUGGGAUUUGGUAGAUUAAGAGAUACAGCAGUUACAUCCAUUACCGACCGCAGUACACAGCUUCUUAUAAAAAAUAACUGCAGCUUUCAAUGGUAAUUGGUCCAACUUUCCCCUUAAAUUCGACUUGGCCAGAAGCGGUAGUAGUGAAAAAUACAUAAAUUCGGAACUUUUCAGAUUUUCAAUAAAAUAUGAAGUUCGUAAAUUGAAUUCUUUAUAGAAACUUUCUGGAAUUUCUUGAAAUACUUCAGGCCUGGAACAUCUUUUUCAUCACGAGGGAGAACGGAUUAGGGCAGUUGGUAAAGGGUGUGAGUUUCCCGGAGAACCCAAAAAAUAUUUUACCUGAGUAAGAUUGAUAUAAGUGGAACCAAAAAUUUGUGUAAAACUAAACGAAACGCUAAUUCUUAUUUUUUGUGAAAUUUCAUAAACAGAUUUAUAUCCCAUUACUCGUUGCAAUUUUAUCGUUCGUAUAUUAUUCUGCUUACAUAUUAUG